rnacentral:rRNA from 1 species
GAGUAGAUUGAUCGUGUCAGGAUGAACGCUGGCGGCGUGCUUAACACAUGCAAGUCGAACGGAGCUGUUCCGGAGCCUAGGGCUUCGGCCACGGGCAGAAGGAACGACUUAGUGGCGGACGGGUGAGUAACGCGUGGGCAACCUGCCUUUUUUCCGGGGGAUAACACAGGGAAACCUGUGCUAAUACCGCAUAAAGUCAUCUGAGGACAUCCUCUAAUGACCAAAGGAUUUAUCCGGGGAAAGAGGGGCCCGCGUCUGAUUAGCUUGUUGGUGAGGUAACGGCCCACCAAGGCGACGAUCAGUAGCCGAACUGAGAGGUUGAUCGGCCACAUUGGGACUGAGACACGGCCCAGACUCCUACGGGAGGCAGCAGUGGGGAAUAUUGCGCAAUGGGGGGAAACCCUGACGCAGCAACGCCGCGUGAAGGAUGAAGGUUUUCGGAUUGUAAACUUCUUUGACAGGGGACGAACAAUGACGGUACCCUGAAAACAAGUCACGGCUAACUACGUGCCAGCCGCGGC